rnacentral:piRNA from 1 species
UUACAUCAGACCAUUUACCUGGCUCCCAUGU